rnacentral:rRNA from 1 species
GCUGCGCGUGCUAGAUAAUAGCGUGCCUUCUUGACCGUCUCAUCACCGAGUGUGGUGGGGAUCACGGAGUGUCGGCGCGGAAGGCUUUACCACAAACCCUUGUGUUUCCAUGUUUUCUGUCUGAACUGUCAUGCAAAUAAUUAAAACUUUCAACAACGGAUCUCUUGGUUCUCGCAUCGAUGAAGAACGCAGCGAAAUGCGAUAAGUAGUGUGAAUUGCAGAAUUCCGUGAAUCAUCGAAUCUUUGAACGCACAUUGCGCCUCCUGGUAUUCCGGGAGGCAUGCCUGUUCGAGCGUCAUUAAAAUCAAAUCAAGCGUUUGUGCUUGGUCAUGGAGGAAGAGAUCACCCUGUGGUCUCCCCACCGAAAUCCAAAGGCGGAAAGACUCUGGUACACAGCGUAGUACUAACGUUCGCUUGGUACCUGGAGUCGUACCUGCCGGCAAACCCCCCAAAAUUCUCU